rnacentral:rRNA from 1 species
UACGUAGGGAGCAAGCGUUGUUCGGAUUUACUGGGCGUAAAGGGCGCGUAGGCGGCGCGGUAAGUCACUUGUGAAAUCUCUGAGCUUAACUCAGAACGGCCAAGUGAUACUGCAGUGCUAGAGUGCAGAAGGGGCAAUCGGAAUUCUUGGUGUAGCGGUGAAAUGCGUAGAUAUCAAGAGGAACACCUGAGGUGAAGACGGGUUGCUGGGCUGACACUGACGCUGAGUGCGCGAAAGCGUGGGGAGCAAACAGG